CCUACGGGCGGCAGCAGUGGGGAAUAUUGCACAAUGGGGGAAACCCUGAUGCAGCGACGCCGCGUGAAGGAAGAAGUAUUUCGGUAUGUAAACUUCUAUCAGCAGGGAAGAAAAUGACGGUACCUGACUAAGAAGCCCCGGCUAACUACGUGCCAGCAGCCGCGGUAAUACGUAGGGGGCAAGCGGUAUCCGGAUUUACUGGGUGUAAAGGGAGCGUAGGCGGUUUAGCAAGUCAGAAGGGAAAGCCCGGGGCUCAACUCCGGGACUGCUUUUGAAACUGUUGAACUAGAGUGCAGGAGAGGUAAGUGGAAUUCCUAGUGUAGCGGUGAAAUGCGUAGAUAUUAGGAGGAACACCAGUGGCGAAGGCGGCUUACUGGACUGUAAAUGACGCUGAGGCUCGAAAGCGUGGGGAGCAAACAGGAUUAGAUACCCCAGUAGUC
rnacentral:rRNA from 1 species